GAAUACCACAGCUUAAACCCGUCUACAUUCCUCGCCUUCGACCCUUUCCACCUAGUCUCCUGGACACAGGCUAUGUUAACCCUCCUCUUCUGAAGAACAUUCGCCAGCUCAAUGGACUUACCCGUCAGAGUGCCUACGUUCCACGACCCGAUCCUUAAUCUAUGAGCAUCUGCUACCCUCUUCCCACCCUUGCCUCCGGCCCUACCCGCAGAACCGCUCCCAGCC
rnacentral:lncRNA from 1 species